rnacentral:tRNA from 1 species
UGCAGGUUGGAGGAGUGGUUUCCUUAAAGGGCUCAUAACCCUUUGACACUGGUUCGAAUCCAGUACCUGUAUCCA